UACGGAGGAUGCGAGCGUUAUCCGGAUUUAUUGGGUUUAAAGGGUGCGCAGGCGGAUUUUUAAGUCAGCGGUCAAAUCGUGGGGCUCAACCCCAUCCAGCCGUUGAAACUGGGGAUCUAGAGUGUGCGAGAGGUAUGCGGAAUGCGUGGUGUAGCGGUGAAAUGCUUAGAUAUUGCGCAGAACUCCGAUUGCGAAGGCAGCAUACCGGCGGCGAUCUGACGCUGAGGCACGAAAGCGUGGGUAUCGAACAGG
rnacentral:rRNA from 1 species